UUCCCUAAAGAAGGGAGCUGAGAUAAAAAGAUGUGUAUACAAAAUGAUUUGAAAACAAAUGAAAUGAAAUUAAUAAUAAAAUUGGAUAUGAAUUGUAAAACCAGUCAUUCCAACCUUGAUUAUUACUUGAGUAACAGAUCCCACUUUCCCUUGGACAAAAGCAAGCCUUGUAUGUGUUUCUUUCACUCCUCUCUCUCUCUUUCUUUUAAUCGCAAUAUUCAGUCACAGAACCACUUCUACGGAAAAAUUAUCCAUCUCUACCAAUAAUAACACUUCGUUCUUUAGAUAAAUCAUCUGUUGGAGAUAAUUGUGUCCACCGAGAUGAAAGAUAUUCAAUUUUUCAAUCAACUCAGUGAUAGAGGAUGUCAAUGGCAAGAAUGCACACUUUUGAUGCCUGCUGUAUCAGUUGGUAAUGUUGGACAAUUAGCUGUUGACCUUUUAGUUACAACAUUGAUUUGGGAAAGAAAAGUGAAAUUAGUUGGGCGCAUAUUUUCAACAGCACUGAAAAGCGUUUCUGGUCCUAAUGCUUAUCAAUUUGAUGACGAUAGUCCUAUCAUGACUACUUGUGAAGGUAUGAGCUAUCAUAAAUUCCAGCCUUGCAAAUUUUCUGAAUAUAAUUAAUAAUUAUUAAUGGAUCGUCUACUUGACAAUUUAAAAUUAAAAACCAUUGGAUUAUAGUGAUCAUUAUGAUUUGUUAAGCCAGUAUCAUUUUAAAAUCAAACCAUCGAGACUUGCUUGUGAAUUUAUUGGACAUUAUGAGCUAUGGGUAGUUCAAUUCAAAGAGAAAAGGAAGAUCAACUUUGGUUCAACUCUUGAUUCUUAUUAAUUACAAUAUUGCUGAUAACCUUAUCAUCAAUUACUAACAAUAUUAUAAAUGGGUUAUAAUGUAAUUUUCAAUGCUAUGACAGUGACAAACUGGUGCAAGUUGACUGUCAAAUCUAUUAAUAUUCAACAAAGCACUCAUCCUACUGUAAAUUAACCGACGCAUAACAGGGAACCCUCGCUAAUUUUAGCAGAGUCCUGAUGACCAAGUAAACAGCUUCGUUUAAUCCAGUUUAAAUACAAAUUACUCGGUUAAACAUCCGAAAUUAAAUAAUAAAAUUAUAAUUAAAUUUUUGUAAAACUCUUAUAAGGGCUAUUUGUCCUAAAUAUUACAGAAAAAUAGCCAAAUUGCUAAUCCUACGACGUGUAGUUUGAUUGUAAAGGAUAAAUCUGAUAAUUGCUCUAAAGCAAACCAUCUUUAAAUCUGACCUUUCAUUCCCCAUCAUCACUUAAAUAUCAAACAAAAGUGUAAAUCUAAUAUGAAUACGUAUAUUAAUUGAAGUAAUUCAGAUUGUUAUUUUUCCCACCUUUAUCUUUUAAUGAAGUGAUUAUGGAAGCUAAAGUUAAUGACAUAAACUUUAUUUACUUGA